UACCACGGGACACGUCAAACCUUGCGGGAAGCAGGAGGGACCACCCUCCAAGGCUAAACACUACCUAGCGCCCGAUAGCGUAUAGUACCGUGAGGGAACGGUAAAAAGAACCCCGGGAGGGGCGUGACCUCGAACCUGACCCCCUGCACUUACAAGCUGUGGACGCAUAGUUCUUGUGUGACCGCGUACUUUUUGUCGAACGCAACGAGUUACGUUAAGUAGC
rnacentral:rRNA from 1 species